CCUACGGGUGGCAGCAGUGGGGGAUAUUGCACGAUGGGGGAAACCCUGAUGCAGCGACGCCGCGUGGGUGAAGAAGCGCCUCGGCGCGUAAAGCCCUGUCAGCAGGGAAGAAAAUGACGGUACCUGAAGAAGAAGCCCCGGCUAACUACGUGCCAGCAGCCGCGGUAAUACGUAGGGGGCAAGCGUUAUCCGGAUUUAUUGGGUUUAAAGGGUGCGUAGGCGGAACAUUAAGUCAGCGGUAAAAUCGAGGGGCUCAACCCCUUUAAGCCGUUGAAACUGGUGAUCUUGAGUGGGCGAGAAGUAUGCGGAAUGCGUGGUGUAGCGGUGAAAUGCAUAGAUAUCACGCAGAACUCCGAUUGCGAAGGCAGCAUACCGGCGCCCGACUGACGCUGAGGCACGAAAGCGUGGGGAUCGAACAGGAUUAGAUACCCGUGUAGUC
rnacentral:rRNA from 1 species